AAUACGUAGGGGGCGAGCGUUGUCCGGAAUUAUUGGGCGUAAAGCGCGCGCAGGUGGCUAUGUAAGUCUGAUGUUAAAGCCCGGGGCUCAACCUCGGUUCGCAUUGGAAACUGCGUAGCUUGAGUGCAGGAGAGGAAAGUGGUAUUCCACGUGUAGCGGUGAAAUGCGUAGAGAUGUGGAGGAACACCAGUGGCGAAGGCGACUUUCUGGCCUGUAACUGACACUGAGGCGCGAAAGCGUGGGGAGCAAACAG
rnacentral:rRNA from 1 species